rnacentral:rRNA from 1 species
AUGCGCGGCAUGGCCGAAGCCGACGAGAGAAGAGAGAGAUGGAGAGAAAAGAGAGGACGGGAAGGAGACGAGACGCCAGAGGAGAGAGAAGGGGGUGGUGGUCACUUCAACGGGCUGCAGCGCGGCGCCGCCCCGGCCGCUGAGCCUGCCCGACCGCCCCGUCGCCAAGUCGCCACCCCACUGACUGCCCUGGGCUCGCCCUUUAAACCAAUUCAGAGCCAGCGAUUGUUGCCCACAUCGCCGAACCUGGCUCCCCUUCUCCACCCCAGCAAGCACGCGCGCUUGAAGGCGCCCAGGAGCUCGCCGGCAACACUCAGCAGACGUAGGAGAGCUGCGUGCCUGGUGCGUGUGAAUUUGUGGACGCGAGGCAUUGGAGGCCUCAGCAAGUUAACAAAUUAUAUUGCCCUGUACUACUUUUUAACAAAUUGGCUCCUACAAAGACUAAUGGAAGGAUCAUCAGACCAACAUAGUCAAAUUGUCUGCUUCAAAUUUUCGGGAAGCCGACGGACAGCCAUAGUAGGAAGGCGUGGAUCUUGA